AAAACUCAGGUAGAAGUAAGUAAAGUGACCCAGGCUACUAUCCUGUGUUACAGAGCUGGUCAGGGGAAGGCCCAGGAUUUCAACUCAGGUCCAUCUGAAUCCAUUCCCUGUGUUACAUGCAUCCUCUGUGGAUCAAGGAAAGAAAGGAUUAUAAUACACAACUUUGAACUCAGUGGCCCUUUAAAGUACAGAGUGUAUACAACUGACAUUGUUCCACUAAUCCAGCUGCAAGUCUUGUGAAGAAUUACAAGCAGGCUCCACUCCUUGAAUUUCCAUGACAACAAAUUUAUUUUUUUGCAUGAAAUUAACAUUUGAAUUCUUCUGUCAAAGCUGCAUAUAUGUGUUCCUUGGCCCUAACAUUAUAUUACGUUCAGGAAUAAAACAUUAUGACUCGUGUUAUAGAUUUUCUGAAUCCAGAUGCCUCUCUGCCUUCAUAAAUUAAUAAAAAUUAC